CAGGGCAUAGUUAAAAUGAUAAUAGGGGCUUUGGGAGCGUCAGUUUUUCUAUAGGAGAUGUCUUGA
rnacentral:tRNA from 1 species